UUAGUACUCCCUCCGUGGGGAUAUACUUGUCAUCAAAAUAGACAAAAGGAUGUAUCUAGAACUAAAAUACAUCCAGAUACAUACUCUUUUAUUCAUUUUGAUGACAAGUAUUUCCGGACGGAAGAAGUAUAUA
rfam:Triticum aestivum genome assembly, contig: Triticum_aestivum_CS42_TGACv1_scaffold_129469_2BL